rnacentral:rRNA from 1 species
UACGUAGGGUGCAAGCGUUGUCCGGAAUUAUUGGGCGUAAAGAGCUCGUAGGCGGUUUGUUGCGUCGGCUGUGAAAUCCCGAGGCUCAACCUCGGGUCUGCAGUCGAUACGAGCAAACUAGAGUGUUGCAGGGGAGACUGGAAUUCCUGGUGUAGCGGUGAAAUGCGCAGAUAUCUGGAGGAACACCGGUGGCGAAGGCGGCGUUCUGGACUGCAACUGACACUGAGGAACGAAAGCCAGGGGAGCAAACGGG